rnacentral:rRNA from 1 species
GCUUGGGCGUGCCUCCACCCACGCCGGCGUCGGCGGGCGUAUUUCGCCUCACAGUAGGUCGCCGCGACCCGUUGCUUUUGGGGACGUCGAAGGCCCGGACGGAUUGGUACCCUACCGGCUGGGGAUGCGGCUUCGGCUUCUCCUCUUGUCCGGUGGGCGAAACCGCCGGUGUCCUGGCUGCCCUGCGACGGUCGUAGAGACGAGCCCUCCCCUUCGGGGGGGCGGCUCUCGCGGCGUGCAAAAGGUCGGUGAUCCACCCGACCCGUCUUGAAACACGGACCAAGGAGUCUAACAUGUGUGCGAGUCAGUGGGCGCACUAAACCCAGAGGCGUAAUGAAAGUGACACGGGUUCGGCUGUCGCCUCGUGUGGCAGCCGGACUCAGGGCCGAUCCCUCACCGGUUGCCCUCGCUUCUCUCCCGCGUCUCGGUAAGCCGGGUGAGCUAUUUUCCCCGGCCGCUGCUGCGGGGCUCGGGGGGAGGCGGGGUUGCGAUGGUGUCCGUAAAAAAGAGCCUGCUGUUGCAGGGGGGCGCAGGCCCGGGACUUGCCAGGACGCCGCGAGACUGUCACUUUGCUGUGAGGCUCUCGGGCCGAUCAGCGGGUCAUGCGUGCAGUCGGCAAGUACCAUGAGCAGACAUGUUGGGACCCGAAAGAUGGUGAACUAUGCCUGGCCAGGAUGAAGCCAGAGGAAACUCUGGUGGAGGUCCGUAGCGAUUCUGACGUGCAAAUCG